rnacentral:miRNA from 1 species
UACCUCAUCGGCCGGAAGGGAUUCUGUCCAGUUGAUGAGGUUGUUAUACCUCAUCAACUGGAAGGAAUCCCUUCUGGUUGAUGAGGUU